GCCUUCGUGGUGUAAUGGUCAGCACACUGAGCCGGUAUUUCAGAGGUCCGCGGUUCGAUUCCCGGCGUUGCA
rnacentral:tRNA from 1 species